GUUCCAGUUCAAUGAUUAAAAGAACCACAGAUGACCAGGCACGGUGGCUCACGCCUGUAAUCCCAGCACUUUGGGAGCCCGAGAGACGGAGUUUCACCAUGUUAGCCAGGAUGGUCUCGAUCUUCUGACCUCGUGAUCCGCCCGCCUUGGCCUCCCAAAGUGCUGGGAUUACAGACGUGAGCCACUGCGCCCGGCCAAAACCCUGCUUUUAAUAAAGUGUGAAAUGGUAAAAAGAA